ACCGAGAUUGCAGAGGUAGGGGGUGCCGGGCUUCAAUUAUGCCAAGGGAUGGAUAAGGUUUAUAUCCCAUACAAGCUUUCCAGCAAGGUAAUUGAUUGAAAAUUCAAGUGGUUUUAUAGUGGAAACCAUGCUCCAUCGCUGCUAGACAGGACCCAUAGGCCUCCUAAGAUCUGUAAUGAGUGGAUCGCAAUAGCUCAGGACAAAUAUCAACUGAACAAGCUGCUGGAUUGGGGACCCUGUCGGGCUCCUCCCCCCACCCCCCAAAAAAAAAACAAAUUGUACGUGUGAGUUUCCCUUCAUACGACUCGAAUCAUUCUCUGAAGAAGGAUAAGUGAUUAAAGCAGCUCUUGUGAUGUCUUGUAUAUGUCGAAGAAUCCAACCUCUGCAAAAGUGUAUCAAUUUUGGCUUUCGCUACCUUAGGGAUCAAGGAUCCAUCUCGCUUCACCUCCAAGAAAAAUCACUGAAAGUGAAGCAGUGUGUCGAGUUCGUCGAGUACUUGAUGGAGUGCUUGGCGUUCCGAUGAUUCCGGACACCUUUACCAUGAAGGAUCCACCCAAGGAGGAUGAUGUAAAUAUAUAUCGAAGCAGUCCUUCGAUUCCAGAAGCCAUUUGUCUUGCGCAUCUUCUCCCAAGUGUGCGUAAGAGACCAUAUAUCUAUCGGCCGGGCAAAGAUCCGAACAUAGUAGAUGCUAUGUCAAACACUGAAUCUGACAACAACUUUCCCUAGACAUUGAGGAAGACACUGGCGCGGGUGGAGGAGACCAAAGUCCCAGUCCUGGGGGCGAUUCAGGAGCUAGUCACCCAAAAGCUCCGCGCACGGUGACGCGUAAGCGCAAGGCGUCCACCCCAUCCAGAGAUACCAGCCCUAGGUGCAUUGUGUCGAGAACUGAAGCAUCUGGGAAUGAUGCUGGUAUAGAUACAAGUGUAUCCUCUAUCCCAGCGGAGCCUUCAAGUGAUGCAGGGAUCACCUAGCCGGAGCGUACAACACCAGCAGAUGGUUCUGAGGAAGGUCCCCCGGCGGAACCUCGGUCGGCGGGUGGUGAAAAUACUCCCCCUACCCAGUGGAAUAUUGCUGCGGUGGGUGAACGGCAUUCAAGCUCUCAACAGGGGCUAUCAGUGCCUUCUGCUGGAGCACAAGUGACGUCGUGUGCUUUGGUAACCGUCCCAGUCCCAAAGUUGCUAAGAGGGAUGGAACUUUCGAUAAGGAAGUCAAUCCUUAAAGCAGAUCUGGGACUAGGAGAUACGAGCGAGGUUACCUCUUCCCCAGCCCCCGAGCCCAAACAUGUGGCGAUAAUGGCACCACCACUACUACUCCAAGCAGAAAUUGAUCCAGUCCUUCCCCUGGUCAAAGAAGCUCUCGCGCAGAAUGCGGAGGAAGCUCUAGCUGGUGGUGGCAACAAUGAAGCUAGUGGUGGUGAUGCCCAACUUCAUCUACUAAGGCUAGAGAUUCCUUCAGGCCCAGCAUCGUAGCAACAAGCAGGAGAAGUACCCGAUACUGCGGAUGCUGGUGCUAGAGGGGAGAUGACUGCUCUGUCGGCAGCAAGAGGAUCCAUUUCUUAUGAUCCUACACAAGGAACUGUCCAGCUUUACCACUGCGAGGUCCUUGAAGAUGCAGUCAAUUGGAGGGGAACUCCAGCUGGUGGCCGAGAAGGAGCGUCAUCUUAACCAAAAGCUAAAGGAAGUCACUGCUCUUCAUAGUGACCUUCAGAAGGUCAAGAUUGAACAAAGUCAGGAGCGCCAGGUUCUGCAGGAUCAAAAUGGCACAACUUGCAAGGGACAAGAAAGCUCUCGAAGAGAGAAACAAGUCACUGCAAGGAAAGAAUAGAUCAAGUGCCAAGAAGCAUAGAGAUGAAAUUGAGAAGUUGACCAAGAUAAAGGAGGAUGUUGAUCAUCAGCUCGUCGGGACCAUGCAGCAGAUCAGAGACUUGGUUGCAUAGAGGGAUCUCUAUAAGAAAGAACUCGAUAAGCUGAAAGCUGCUGCUCAAGCUGUUGUGGACAUGGUGGAUCCACCCGAGGAAGUUACGGAGCAGACAAAGACUCUCUUGGGGCGACUGCUAGGAGCUCUGCAAGGGAUUAUCAAGUACCUCUCGGACACCACCCGACAGUACGUGUCUCAUGUACUUGGGUUGGUGAAGCCAUAUUGGCCGCAGGCGAAUCUGGUUCCACUAGGAGAAGGUAUAUCUAUUGAAUGCUCCGAAGACAAAUGUGCUUAUCUCGUGGAAGAGGUGAAGCCUAUAGCCGAUAGGAUUGUGGAUAGCCUGGAGCAGGAGUCCUGAUCAGCAUACUCUAUAUGAUGUCUCUAUGUAUGUGUUAAAUACAUUAUAACUUUGUAACAUAUAUCCUGUUUAUGCGAACUAUUGUCUCAGAAA